GCGGUCGUGGCGGAAUUGGCAGACGCGCUAGCUUCAGGCGCUAGUGGUAGUAAUACCGUGGAAGUUCGAGUCUUCUCGGCCGCA
rnacentral:tRNA from 5 species